CAAGGCACUUUCUUACUGGUGGAGCAAGGAAAUAGACACACACAAGUGUUCCCUCGGAGCAGGAGAGUGGCUUCCCACCUAGUUACUGGAGCCAGCUUGGGGCAGAUCUCUAUUAUUUUGAAGAAAUCCUCCUGACAAUGUAGGGAGAGGUUAUUCUUCACUAUAGUGGCAUCAGAGGAAACUCUUAGGAGGAUUACGUUAUAUGAAUGAGUUUGAUAGGAGUCACCAUGGUGAGGAAAGGAUAAUGGAAUUUCAG